AUGAUGAUAGCACAAUUUCUUUGUUGCUUUGAACACUUUUUAGCUUAUCUAAUACUUGAAUUAAUAGUUGGAUUAUUGUGUUAUUUUGUCUUACUAUUACUUUGGAAUCUUCUUUUGGGGAGUCGUGAUCGGAGAGCCCGACAGGAGGUGACAGGUAUUUUGCUACUUCGUUUAAUGCUUGAGUAUAUUCAGUCAUAUAAUUAUGAGAUAAUCAAAGUUUUAACCUCUUGCACCAACUUUUUUAUUUCAAGUAUAUCUUGUCUUCAUUCAGUGCAUGGGAGUGACUCUUUGCCUUUACUUAGGUAG
rnacentral:rRNA from 1 species